AAUAAAACUUAUUCGGAGUUACCACAAGAUUGGGAAGGGGCAUGUGUAUUAGGUAUGCCAAAGCCAUCCUUCUUCUUGUUGCCGAUCGAAACAGGAGAGACCUUGGGAGUUAAGGUUUACGAUGUAAAUCAUAAAAGGGAGAGAGCAUCCUUGAAUAUAGGUAGCUGGGAAGAUAAUGAGUGGCCCCCUCAACGUAUUAUUAAUUAUUAUGGACCUACUACUUGGGCAGAAGAUGGUACUUAUGGAUAUAGAACUCCGAUUAUAUAUGCUCAACCGCAUUAUUAGACUACAGGCGGUAGUUGAGAUUAUUACUAAUGAGACAGCUCAAGUGCUUAAUCUUCUAGCUAAGCAAAAUACCAAGAUGUGAUCAGCCAUAUACCAGAAUAGGCUAGCCCUUGAUUACUUACUAGCAGUAGAAGGAGGUGUAUGCGGAAAGUUUAAUCUAAGUAACUGUUGUCUGCACAUAGAUGAUGAAGGGCAGGCAGUGGCUGAACUUACAAGCCACAUGGUUAAAUUUGAGCAUGUACCUAC